GACGAACGCUGGCGGCGUGCCUAAUACAUGCAAGUCGAACGCUGAAGAGAGGAGCUUGCUCUUCUUGGAUGAGUUGCGAACGGGUGAGUAACGCGUAGGUAACCUGCCUGGUAGCGGGGGAUAACCAUUGGAAACGAUAGCUAAUACCGCAUAAAAUGGUUUAUCGCAUGAUAAUCCAUUGAAAGGUGCAAAUGCAUCACUACCAGAUGGACCUGCGUUGUAUUAGCUAGUUGGUGGGGUAACGGCGCACCAAGGCGACGAUACAUAGCCGACCUGAGAGGGUGGGCGGCCAGACUGGGACUGAGACACGGCCCAGACGCAUACGGGAGGGAGCAGUAGGGAAUCUGGGGCAAUGGGCGGAAGACUGAGCGAGAAACGCCGCGUGAGGGAAGAAGGGUGUCGGAUCGUAAAGGUCGGUUGUAAGGGAAGAACGAGUGUGAGAGUGGAAAGUUCACACUGUGACGGUAUCUUACCAGAAAGGGACGGCUAACUACGUG
rnacentral:rRNA from 1 species